UACAGAGGGUGCUAGCGUUGUUCGGAAUCAUUGGGCGUAAAGGGCGUGUAGGCGGUUUGUUAAGUCAUGUGUGAAAUCCCUCGGCUCAACCGGGGAACGACGCAUGAAACUGGCAAGCUAGAGUACCAAAGAGGGGGGUGGAAUUCCCGGUGUAGCGGUGAAAUUCGUAGAUAUCAGGAGGAACACCAGUGGCGAAGGCGGCUUUCUGGACGGUAACUGACGCUGAGGCGCGAAAGCGUGGGGAGCAAACAGG
rnacentral:rRNA from 1 species